CCCGAAGAUGGGUUUGCCCGCGCUAGCAGUGACUGAUAACACGGAUGACGAACCUCAGAGGAAAAAAGGCAUGACAGGCGAACAUCAGAACAUCACACGUUGAGCAAAGUAAUAAACACAUUCGUUGAGUUGUUGAUUGACGCCGUAGGUAAUUCUAUUGUGUUCAGGGCAAGGUUCAGGAAGACAUAGUGAGAUAGAAAUCGUUUAUGAUGUAACGUCUGUUUGUCAGUGGUUGCAGGAGCAGAUACAACGUAAUUACGAAUGCCGCAGCAAAAUGCACCGCGUCAUCGUUGGAUGCCUCAUUAAUAUAUUCUUGCUCCUCCGGGAACAAACAUUCUGUGACAAACUACAGGUAUUACUCGAUAAAAUGAAAUUGUAAAUUAGAUAUGUAAUAACCGAUCCAAUGAAGGCAAUGAAUAGAAGAAUGUAUCACACUUAGAAUAUAGCAAAGAAUUUUGUAAAAUAA